CGUAGGGUGCGAGCGUUAAUCGGAAUUACUGGGCGUAAAGCGUGCGCAGGCGGUUGUGUAAGACAGGCGUGAAAUCCCCGGGCUUAACCUGGGAAUGGCGCUUGUGACUGCACGGCUGGAGUACGGCAGAGGGGGAUGGAAUUCCGCGUGUAGCAGUGAAAUGCGUAGAUAUGCGGAGGAACACCGAUGGCGAAGGCAGUCCCCUGGGCCUGUACUGACGCUCAUGCACGAAAGCGUGGGAGCAAACAGGAUU
rnacentral:rRNA from 1 species